rnacentral:rRNA from 1 species
AACGAACGCUGGCGGCAGGCUUAACACAUGCAAGUCGAGCGCCCCGCAAGGGGAGCGGCAGACGGGUGAGUAACGCGAGGGAACGUAACUUUUGGUUCGGUACAACUCCGGGAAACUGGAGCUACUACCGGAUAAGCCCUAACGGGGAAAGAUUUAUCGCCGAAAGAUCGGCCCGCGUCUGAUUAGCUAGUUGGUGUGGUAACGGCUCACGAAGGCGACGAUCAGUAGCUGGUCUGAGAGGAUGAUCAGCCACACUGAGACUGAGACACGACCCAUACUCCUACGGGAAGCAGCAGUGGUGAAUAUUUGGCAAUGAGCGCGAGCCUGAUCCAGCCAUGCCGCGUGAGUGAUGAAGGCCUUAGGGUUGUAAAGCUCUUUUGUCCGAGAAGAUAAUGACUGUACCGGAAGAAUAAGCCCCGGCUAACUUCGU